UGGCGGAUGGGCAUGCGGCGCAUUAGCUAGUCGGCGGGGUAACGGCCCACCGAGGCGACGAUGCGUAGGGGUUCUGAGAGGAAGGUCCCCCACACUGGUACUGAGACACGGACCAGACUCCUACGGGAGGCAGCAGUGAGGAAUAUUGGUCAAUGGGCGCGAGCCUGAACCAGCCAAGUCGCGUGAGGGGUGACGGUCCUACGGAUUGUAAACCUCUUUUGCCGGGGAGCAAGCGUGCGUUCGUGAACGCGCGUCGAGAGUACCCGGAGAAAAAGCAUCGGCUAACUCCGUGCCAGCAGCCGCGGUAAUACGGAGGAUGCGAGCGUUAUCCGGAUUUAUUGGGUUUAAAGGGUGCGUAGGCGGGAUGCCAAGUCAGCGGUAAAAAUGCGGUGCUCAACGCCGUCGAGCCGUUGAAACUGGCGUUCUUGAGUGGGCGAGAAGUAUGCGGAAUGCGUGGUGUAGCGGUGAAAUGCAUAGAUAUCACGCAGAACUCCGAUUGCGAAGGCAGCAUACCGGCGCCCUACUGACGCUGAGGCACGAAAGCGUGGGUAUCGAACAGGAUUAGAUACCCUGGUAGUCCACGCAGUAAACGAUGAAUGCUAACUGUCCGGUGCGAGUGAGCGCUGG
rnacentral:rRNA from 1 species